AUGAGUCUAUCUGGUUAAUCAUAGUUACAUAUAGAGUUCCGGUUUAACCGCCGUUACGUUAAACGUAUUCGAACACGUUCGGACCUGAUUUUUUUGGAAUUAGUACCUCGGUACCUUUGGAUGAAAAAGCAAUAGAGAUGAGUCAAAAUAAAAUAAUAAUAAGAAGUAGAAGGAAGAAGUUACAUACAGAGGACAUUUUCACGCGUUUUACUGUCGAUAAAAUUUUCAGUAUACCUAAAUAUGUAAUCCAUAUGUGCAGAAAUAAGGAGCAAACACUCUUCUUCACUUGGACAGAUGCUUUUGGAGCGAUCGUUCGCUAUGUAGUGGCACCGUGAAAGUACCUGUUUAGUGAGAUGCCAAGUCUAUAUAGUGCGUCUCUGAUCGUGGGAACUCCUCAGGGACGCCUCAAAGGUAUCAUCGAGAAGAGGAUACCUCAUAUUAGGGUCUAGUCUUUUAACGAUGACGUCAUUGUCACUGCGUUGUUGUUGCGCGAGUAUAAUAUAUAUGAUAGAAAAAUUGUGCAAACGAUAGUAAUGCUUUUGUCUAAAGUUUCAGAAUAGACCCCUUACAUUGGAAAUAUACAAAGCAUUCAUAUACAGUAUUCAUCGUAGUGAUCCAUUAUUUUUUUACCAGUUACAAUGAUCGGGUAAUACGCACAAAAAGUUCUAGAUGCAAUCAAUCAAUUUUUAAAUAAUAAGAUUAAUUUUUAAGCAAUAAGAUGCAGUAAUGAAAAAACGUUUUUUUCUUGUGGAGAGAAAAGUAAGUAGGCGAGUCGUUCAAUUUUUAACAUCUACGGCACUGUUAUUCGCCGAACACCGGGCAAGGAGAAAUCCUGACAAUGUAAAACUUCAUAAACAAGAUAUUUCUGUUCGCAUAUCACGUCGAACCGCGCGAUCACUGAUAAUAUAGCGAAGAUGUAUCGGCGAUGAGCCUUACAAAGGACUUUUCGUUUACACAUGUAAAUAUGCAUUCAUGAAUACACGUAUUGUCGAUGCAACUACGUGUAUUGUUGUGAACCAAGUCUAUUCUAUCACAUCGUGCACGUGUAUAUACUUCAACAAUCGAAGAACUUCAUGAUAAUGCGCCUGUAUAAAUAAUAGAUUAAUUCAGACAAUUAGCAAAAGAUAAGAUAGUGUAGAAUUAGGAUAUAAAAGAGCAAAAUAUCUAAUGUGUAACUUUAUAUUCGUUUUACUCAAAAACAGCAUCUUAAAGGCACACAUAUACAUAUAUAUGCAUGAUCGUAAGUCUCUACUUUUAUGGGGGGUAUGUGGAAUAGUACAUAUAUAGAAUACAUUAUAUCAUAGACUAUUUAACAAUUUCUUGUACAUAUGUAUAAUUCGUUAUUUCGCUCUGUCGGGCACAUUAUAUUAAAUAUUCAAGAAUGUCUGUAAAUGCGUUAUUUUAGAAUCGGAAGAAAUCUUAGAAAAUAUUGCACAGAGCAAUAGAUACAAAAUUUGGAUGUUAUAUACAUCAUUGUCAUACUUUAACAGGUAGAUAGUUAGUAUUGGGAAUAUAAUCUAUUUGUACUAGGUUUAUGAUAAUAACUGUAGUUUUUGUGCACCAAAUUGAGAUAUGUAUAGUUAUAGUCCCACUUUUGUCAAUUUUUGUGUCAAAAUCUUCUGUUAUUAUAGAAUCAUGCUUUGAUUACAUUUAUAUGUAAUACUGAGAGACUAAUGUAGAUUUUAUACAUAUGUAUAUAUCAAUUUUUAUUUUGAAAA